rnacentral:tRNA from 1 species
ACUCAGUGGCCGAGUGGAUAACACGAUGGCGUCUCAAGCGAGAAGUACUGGGUUCGAGUCCCAGAGUGCACA